rnacentral:rRNA from 1 species
GACGAACGCUGGCGGCGUGCCUAAUACAUGCAAGUCGAGCGAGCUUGCCUAGAUGAAUUUGGUGCUUGCACCAAAUGAAACUAGAUACAAGCGAGCGGCGGACGGGUGAGUAACACGUGGGUAACCUGCCCAAGAGACUGGGAUAACACCUGGAAACAGAUGCUAAUACCGGAUAACAACACUAGACGCAUGUCUAGAGUUUAAAAGAUGGUUCUGCUAUCACUCUUGGAUGGACCUGCGGUGCAUUAGCUAGUUGGUAAGGUAACGGCUUACCAAGGCAAUGAUGCAUAGCCGAGUUGAGAGACUGAUCGGCCACAUUGGGACUGAGACACGGCCCAAACUCCUACGGGAGGCAGCAGUAGGGAAUCUUCCACAAUGGACGCAAGUCUGAUGGAGCAACGCCGCGUGAGUGAAGAAGGUUUUCGGAUCGUAAAGCUCUGUUGUUGGUGAAGAAGGAUAGAGGUAGUAACUGGCCUUUAUUUGACGGUAAUCAACCAGAAAGUCACGGCUAACUACGUGCCAGCAGCCGCGGUAAUACGUAGGUGGCAAGCGUUGUCCGGAUUUAUUGGGCGUAAAGCGAGCGCAGGCGGAAGAAUAAGUCUGAUGUGAAAGCCCUCGGCUUAACCGAGGAACUGCAUCGGAAACUGUUUUUCUUGAGUGCAGAAGAGGAGAGUGGAACUCCAUGUGUAGCGGUGGAAUGCGUAGAUAUAUGGAAGAACACCAGUGGCGAAGGCGGCUCUCUGGUCUGCAACUGACGCUGAGGCUCGAAAGCAUGGGUAGCGAACAGG